GAAACCAGAGUUCUCUCUCCUGUGCAUACCAUCAAGGAAAGGUCAUGUGAGCACGCAGUGAGAAGGUGGCCAUCUGCAAACCAGGAAGAGAGCUUCACCAGAAACUGACCAUGCUGGCAUCUUGGUCUUGGACUUCCAAGCCUCAAGAGCUGGCAUUUGAGAACUCACAAGAGAUGGUUCAUGUCAUUACUGGGGCUGAAGAAAUAAGAAAAAAGAAUGGUUAUUGGAAUCUGAAAACUGGGAGUGCCGAGUGGAUAGAGCUGUGUAACAGGACCUGUGGCCUUAGGCAAGUGACUUAGCCGUGCCAUGCCAACUCUGUUGGGAGAGUCAAGGAACUGGCUCUUACACUUUUGAGAUGCUCAACAAAAGCUGCGUGUAUGGAUGCAUCAUUGGUCAAGAUUGCAAGCCAAGUUGUGACAGGAAAAUAGAAAACACACUGGGCAUUUCAACAAAGAACUUUUAUAGAAGGAACUAUAGAAGCAUAGGUAUGGAGAGCUGAAAGGGUGAAAAGAGAACAUGAGGGUAAUAAUAGCAGGAAGCAAGUGUCACCCCCAGGAAACAGACUGUAAUUCUUAGAACCUAGUCUUAGAGGAAGAUUCCAGUGGAGUUUGACCUCAGACCUUUGAGGAGGAGUACUGCUGGCUGAUCGUGCUGUUAGAGAUUAUGCAGUGAGGCUGGUUCUGAGAAUAGCAAAGAAGCUGAAGCCUGCAAUCAACAGCUGCUAUUAGCUUCAUGUCUUCCUUCAGCACCCUCCAUUGUCAGAGCCUGACAGAAAGCCAGCAGUCCAAAGAGAAAUACAGUUUGCAAAGUUCCAGCCCAAGCCUCACAAAGCACAGCCUAGAUGGGUGAGUUUAAAGCGAGAGGUAACUGAGUUAAUAGCAAGUAUCUACAGUCAAAUGUCUGGCUACUGAGUGAGCACACACACUCUUCUACAGAUACCCGAACUUCAACAAAACUGCAAUUACAACACUAUGCUCCUGACUAAAAUGAUGUAAGUCUUCUGUGGCAUAUGAAGAUGCUUUACUGCGUCUCUAUAAAAGGGAGACACAAAGUUCCAAAGGUCAUGGCAUCCCCAUGAGAUUUACUAAAAGCUAAUAAGUUGGAUCUUGAAUCAUCAUUAGCCCAUAUUCAGCCUGUAUUACAGAAGCCUAGAAGUUCAUACCAGAAGAGAUGUCUUUGAAGAGAAUUUUUAGGAGUAGCAAGUGCUCUGGGAAAUGGGAUGAGGUCCUCUUUCUGUACUCAGCCUCAAGUGAAAGUGAGUUCAAACAGAAAAUGCUUUUCUUCUAAAACUCCAAUUCAGACCUGCUUCUUGUUAUUGUCAGCGCAGGACUAGAGAUUUUUGGAAGAACUUUGCAUGGAUACUUGUUUGGAGUUCCUGUGCCUGUGUCAUACAGGCUGGAUAAGCUUAAUUUCCAAAGGUUGCAGUGGCAAAAAUUGUGAAUUUUCCUAAGGACUAAGUCAGUUGAUGGAGACUACUCAGAUUGAGCCUCCUUGAAUAAGUAAAUAAGUACAUAGUUAAAGAGAAUAAAAGGGUAUUAUAGGGUGAAAAAGGUAGCAAUAAUUUAUGUGCAAUAAAUAAAAUAUACUUUUCAGUGAUAAGAAAAUGAAUACAGAGAUUCUGUUUCAGGAAACUUGACAUAUCAAAUAAUAUAGAAAAAUAAGCAAAAAUGCUCUUUCUACAAUAUAUAUGAGAAGCCUGAAGAAAAUUUCACUAAUGCCUUUCAACUGCAGAGCUGACUUUAUAGGAAAUUUAAAAAAGACUGUAAAUCUAACUGUAUUAAUUAAAAUUCAAGCUGCAGCUCCAAUGAAGAUAUGUCCUGAUCCAAGAACCUUGAGAUGGAGUAAUAAUCAGGAAGAAGAAUCCCCAGAUUUGGUGAUUGAUAUGGUUUGGCUGUGUCUCCAUCCAAAUCUCACCUUGAAUUGUAAUAACCCCCACAUGCCAAGGAUGGGGCCAGGUGGAGAUAAUUGAAUCAUGGGGGUAGUUUCCCUCAUACUGUUCUCAUGGUAGUGAUUAAGUCUCACGAGAUCCGAAGGUUUUAUAAAUGGGAGUUCCCCAGCACACACUCUCUUGCCUGCCGCUGUGUAAGAUGUAACUUUGCUCCUCAUUCACCGUCAGCCGUGAUUGUGAGGCCUCCCCAGCCAUGUGGAACUGAUAAACAGCAUAAUGGGACACUGCAGUGAGGAUGCUUUUGUUUUGAACAAAUCAAAAGGUCACAGUCUGACAAUGAGAUGAACUAAACUGAGAUUUGGAAGGUAGAAGAAAAAAGAGGAUUAUUCUUCAGAAGCCUUUGAAGCCAAGGGUGUGGGCAGAUGACAGACAAGAAGUUCACAGCAGCUUGCUGACAACAUCCUACAUCUCACCUGCUUUAGGCUUUGUAUAGCUUAGAUAGCUCAUGGUGACUUCUGGAGAAUUGUUCUCCUUGGUAUUGCAGAUUCAAAUAGUCAGUGGAAGCCACUCAGCAGUUCUUGAGAUUUCAGUGACUUCUGGAGGAAUUUUUAAGAACCAUCUACUUUAGUGCCAUAGGCUGGAAAUAUUGGUGAGAGCUUCCCUUUCUUUACUCUCCGAUCCAUACAAUGGUUUUGAAAAACUUUUAGUUUCUUCUAUUGAAAUCCUUCAUACUUGGAAUAAUAAAAUAGCUUCUAUUUUCAUGACCAAACAUUGACUAUUACAAAAAUAUUUCCCCUUAUUUGAGAGCCAAUACACAUGAUAGAAUCUAUACAUGAUAGAUGUGUAGAGGACAAGAUUGUUAUAUGUUUUGGAUAAGUUAGAGAACCUAGCCAGUACUCUUUCUUGAAUGGUAGGCCACCCUACUUUCAAUUCUCCUGUGCUGGUAGACCAGAGGUACUACAGAGUCAAAGAGAGAAACACUCAGAUUAAAAUGAACAAAUAAAAAAUAAAAUUUAAAAAUGUUAUAUUGUUCUUUGAGAAAUAUUUUGUAAUCUGCCUGCUC
rnacentral:lncRNA from 1 species